rnacentral:misc_RNA from 1 species
GAUGAAGAACGCAGCGAAAUGCGAAAAGUAAUGUGAAUUGCAGAAUUCAGUGAAUCAUCGAAUCUUUGAACGCACAUUGCGCCCGCUGGUACUCCGGCGGGCACGCCUGUCCGAGCGUCAUUUCAACCCUCAAGCCCUCCUUCGGGAUGGGCCUGGUGUUGGGGCUCGGCCGCCAUCUCCGGCGGCCGUCCCCUAAAUACAGUGGCGGUCACGUCGCGACUCCUUUGCGUAGUAGAAACACCUCGCUCCGGAUAGCAACGCGGUCCACGCCGUAAAACCACCGAUUUUCAAUGGUUGACCUCGGAUCAGGUGGGAAUACCCGCUGAACUUAAGCAUAUCAAAAGCGGAGGA